rnacentral:rRNA from 1 species
GUGGGGUAAUGGCCCACCAAGGCGAUGACGGGUAGCUGGUCUGAGAGGACGACCAGUCACACUGGGACUGAGACACUGCCCAGACUCCUACGGGAGGCUGCAGUCGAGAAUCUUCCGCAAUGGGCGAAAGCCUGACGGAGCGACACCGCGUGCAGGAUGAAGGCCUUAGGGUUGUAAACUGCUGUCACGCUCUAGGAAUGGCGCGUCGUUAAUAGCGGCACGCUUGACCAAAGCGAAAGGAAGCACCGGCUAACUCCGUGCCAGCAGCCGCGGUAAGACGGAGGGUGCAAACGUUGUUCGGAAUCACUGGGCAUAAAGCGCACGCAGGCGGCGCGCUAAGUCAGGUGUGAAAGCCCUCGGCUCAACCGAGGAACUGCUCCUGAUACUGGCGUGCUCGAGGACGGUUGGGGCGAGUGGAACUCCUGGUGGAGCGGUGAAAUGCGUAGAUAUCAGGAGGAACACCGGUGGCGAAAGCGGCUCACUGGGCCGUCUCUGACGCUGAGGUGCGAAAGCUAGGGGAGCGAACGGGAUUAGAUACCCCGGUAGUCCUAGCCGUAAACGAUGGGCACUAGGCAAGGGGGGUUCCUAUGGUCUUCUUUGCCGUAGCAAAUGUGUUAAGUG